GCCGUUAGAGGAGUUUGUUAGACGGUUAAAGAACCAUCUGUAAGUAAACUGGCAUAUAGCUACGCAUAUGAGCUGGAUAUGAGAUCGUGGCCAACUGUGGCUGGAUUGCAGAAACCACGAUGGGCGUUCGUAGAACGACUAAGUCCAUCACUAUAAUAGUUCUCUUCGGUAUGUGACCGGGAUGAGAUAGAGAUGUCAUAAUAGUCAUCUCGGAUAUAGGAGGCAUCGGAGUUUAGGUGGUCGGUAAAUAUCCGAUCUGAAUAUUUUC
rnacentral:lncRNA from 1 species